UUGGAGGGCAAGUCUGGUGCCAGCAGCCGCGGUAAUUCCAGCUCCAAUAGCGUAUAUUAAAGUUGUUGCAGUUAAAAAGCUCGUAGUUGAACUUCGGGAUCAAUUAGUUGGUCAUGCCUUGGUAUGUACUGAUUUUAUUGGUUCUCACCUUCUAAAGAACUAUAAUGUCAUUUAUUUGAUGUUAUAGGGAAUUAGGACUGUUACCUUGAAAAAAUUAGAGUGUUUAAAGCAGGCUCACGCUUGAAUACAUUAGCAUGGAAUAAUGAAAUAGGACAUCGCAUUCUAUUUUGUUGGUUUCUAGGAUCGAUGUAAUGAUUAAUAGGGAUAGUUGGGGGCAUUAGUAUUCAAUUGUCAGAGGUGAAAUUCUUGGAUUUAUUGAAGACUAACUACUGCGAAAGCAUUUGCCAAGGAUGUUUUCAUUAAUCAAGAACGAAAGUUAGGGGAUCGAAGACGAUCAGAUACCGUCGUAGUCUUAACCAUAAACUAUGCCGACUAGGGAUCGGAUGAUGUUGAUUUUUUAAUGACUCAUUCGGCACCUUACGGGAAACCAAAGUGUUUGGGUUC
rnacentral:rRNA from 1 species